rnacentral:lncRNA from 1 species
UCCUCCCACUUGGAUUGAAUGCAGAGCCGCAGCCAUCUAAAAGGAGGAUUUGGGGGGAGCAUGGAGUAGAAAAUGAGGAAGGGGCAGGAUAUGACAGGGGAGACAAUAAAAAGGUCAACACAGCUCCCACCUCGAAGCAGCUGCCAGUUUAUUACAUGAAGUGUCAGGCUGUGGACUGCAGGCAUGCCAUUUUGUCUUCAAGAACAGGUGGGAUCAGAGGUCCUUGACUGAUCAGAAUACACUGCUUUCAACCAAAACAUUAUUAGCAUUGAUUUCUUAAAAAAUAAUAGCAAAGUAGAAAACCUUUAGCUGGUCUGUUUCUUCGUGUCCUGAAACUUCCUUAUUAGUGUAAUUAAAAGUACUAAGUUAAGAAUUAGCCUGGGAAAGGACCCUACUUAUGGCAAAGUCUUCAGAAAAGUAAAGAGCAAAACCAGAUAUGUGCCUUGUUCUCAUGGUGCUGACAGUAUAGCGAAGAGGAAAUACUUUAAUCAUACGAAUAAAUAAAUGUAAAGUUAGAACUGUGCAACUGCUACGAAGAGAGGAUAUAGCACUAAAAAGCCCUAGAAUGGGAGAUUUGACCUGGCCAGGGAUGUCAAGAAAUGCUUCCAAGAGGAAGUGGUUCUUGAGCUGAGAUUGGAAUUAACUGGGCAAAGGGCUCCGGGUAGAGAAAACAGCAUGCUCAGGUACUAUGUUGGAGGACAUAUGGGGAGUUCGAGAAACUCCAAAACUGCCAGUGUGACUGAAGCAAAGGGAGCUAGAGUGUUAGGAGCUUAUAAUCCCCACUAAAGGAUUUUGUCUUAGCCCAAGAGCAAAGAGAUACCAGUGGAGACUGCUAAGCAGGAGGACAACAUGACACAUUUGUGCUUUUAAAGGUUUACUCUAGCUUUAGUGUGGAGAGUGGCUGGGAGAAGUCAGAACAGAUACAAGUGCACAGUUUGGGUGCCAGAACAGUCUUCCAGGAUGUGAAGAUGUGAUACUGAACUUGGACAGUGGUAGUAGAAAUGGAGAGAUGUGGAUAGACUCAGAUAUUUAAAUACAUAUACAAAUGAUGAGAGCAUUAUAAAAAGAGGAUCGUGGAAGCCAAGAUUCUGUGCUGCAAUGGAUCAAAGUAUUUUCUGUGGUUUGAGAUUUUCUAAGAUACUCUCUCUUUACAGAAUUCCCGGGCACACGAAUGAUUCCAGGGUUCCUCCAGCACUUUGGUAUUACUUGAAAGCAAUCUUAAGGGAUCUAGAAUGAACCAACGCCCAAAAAGGAUCCCUUAGCAGCGGUGAUAUCAAAGAAACACUUUUGAAGAACUAAUUUUCCACCCAGAUUUCCCCAAUUUUAAAAGCAAUGGGCAAAGCCUUCUCCACUCCUAAACUUCCUGGAACUGUCUUUUGGCUAUAUCAGGCCCCUGAAGUUAGAGUCUUUGAAAGACUCCAAACUCCAAAUUCUAUGCUUUUAUUCUCAGGCUCCUCAUAAUUCUACAGCACACCAGACUGCUGACCACUCUCCGUACCACUUUUAAAUUAUUUCUUCCCACAGCUUUCUUAACAAUGAACCUUUGAAAUCUUUUUAGUUUUCCAUUUAUUUUGCUACCUUUCCUCUGUCCUAGCUCUAAAAUGAAGAUCCUCUAAGGUUCUACAGUUUACUUCUUGUAUUCUCCUUUGUAAGUCAUCUCCAAGACGAUGUCCAAAUCCAUCACCAUUAAAAUUAAUAGUUUCCUCACCCACAACACUUAAUAUUUUAAAAAAAAUACUUUUCAUUGUAUUAUAAUUACUUGAUACAUACAUAUUUGCUCUGUGAGUUCCUUAUUCAUCAUAUUAGUGCCUGACAAUAAAUGUGUGCUGGAUUGAGCUGAAUCUUUAUUACAUCUCUGCUCAGUCAUUUUUAAUUUCUUCUUUUCUCACCACAGCCAAUCAGUUGCCAAUAGAUUCUAGCCCCCAAACGUCUCUUCUCUCAGUUACUCCUUUCUUUUCCACUGCCUUUGUAUGACUUCAGGUCCUCAUAAUCUCUAGCAAGGCUGUUGUAAAAAUUAACGAGAUAAUGUAUGGCACUUCUUAAUGAAGUGCUAGGAAAAAAAUCUAAAGUAUUAUUUUUGCUGAUACCUUUUUUAGACGUUAAAAGGGUUUACUGAUGAUUUGUGCCACCUGUUUCCAACACAAAAUUCGAAACAUUCUAUCGUAAUCACCCCUCCCUACCUGAGCUCCUGUUUCCCACCACAGCCUAUGAUAACCAGGACUGCCCAGUUAGUGGGGCGCUCUGACCACAUUUGUUCCAUACUCAGAACUCCCAGUAACUUCUCAACCAAACACUUCUCGGCCUGGCUGUUUAAAGUGCUUUACAAACAAACAUGACCAGGCCUCAUCUUGUUUCUUAGCUUCUCUCCUGCUGCUCCCUGAACAUCAAUUAAACUGGCCUGUUUAGUGUAAGAGAAGCUGGUAGGCAAUUUUGGUGAUCCAAAAGAAAGGCAACAAGAGAACAUGCCAUGGAACAUGCCAUGGUCAGUGUCCUCACACAACUCGUGAAAGACCAGGGUUCAGGUCCGAUUGAAGGAGGGGGUUCAGUAUAAAAAGCAGUAUAUUGAGGCCGGGCACGGUGGCUCACGCCUGUAAUCCCAACACUCUGGGAGACAAAGGCAGGUGGAUUGUUUGAGCUCAGGAGUUCGAGACCAGCCUGGGCAAUAUGGUGAAACCCUGCCUCUAGCAAAAGUACAAAAACAGCCGGGUGUGGUAGUGCGCAUCUGUGGUCCCAGCUACUUGUAAGGCUGAGGUAGGAGGAUCACUUGAGCCUGGAAGGCAGAGGGUGCAGUGAGCUAAGAUCACAUCACUGCACGCCAGGCUGAGCCACAGAGUGAGACCCUGUUUCUAAAAAAAAAGAAGGAAGAAAGCAGUAUAUUGGAGGCAAUAAGACUGCCAGGGUUUGAAUCUCAACUUUUACUACUCACUAGCUGUGCAACCUAGGGCAAGACACUUUACCUAGCUAAACCUAACUUACCUCCUUGGGAAAUGGGGAUAAUAACUUAUAACAGUGUUGUAAUUAACAUAAUACUUAUAAAAUAUUUUUAUUGCAGAAGUUUGAAGGAAGAUACAAUAGCUUAUUGUCUAAAUCCCUCACCAUCCUUGUGCAGAAAGGAGGCACUCAAUUACUUGAAGUGA